ACUGGAGACAAGGUAAGAUAACUUAAAUAAUUUUCCUCCCAAUUUCUCUUGAUUACAGACUUGGAUUUCAACUCAUUAUUGUUGAUUUUUUAUGGAAAGAAAUUAGACUUUGGAUCCCCUAUUUUUUUCUUCCCAUGUGUCCCUUGAUCUUGGCACCAUUCAUCACUGAUGAUCAUUGGAUCAGAGACCCAUAAUUGCACCACUCUGAGUUGCUUCCUUAGCCAUCAUUUUCUAAUAGGAUUCUCUAGCUUUAGGGAAGAAGGGGAUUCAAAUAGAAUGCCCUAUUUCGCCC
rnacentral:lncRNA from 1 species